UACGUAGGGGGCAAGCGUUGUCCGGAUUUAUUGGGCGUAAAGAGCGUGUAGGCGGCUUGGUAGGUCCGCUGUGAAAUCCCGAGGCUCAACCUCGGGUCUGCAGUCGAUACGAGCAAACUAGAGUGUUGCAGGGGAGACUGGAAUUCCUGGUGUAGCGGUGAAAUGCGCAGAUAUCAGGAGGAACACCGGUGGCGAAGGCGGGUCUCUGGGCAACAACUGACGCUGAGGAGCGAAAGCGUGGGGAGCGAACAGG
rnacentral:rRNA from 1 species